rnacentral:rRNA from 1 species
UACACACCGCCCGUCAAGUCAUGAAAGUCGGCAACACCCGAAGCCAGUGGCCCAACCGCAAGGAGGGAGCUGUCGAAGGUGGGAUCGGUGAUUAGGACU